rnacentral:rRNA from 1 species
CCUACGGGUGGCAGCAGUGAGGAAUAUUGGUCAAUGGGCGCGAGCCUGAACCAGCCAAGCCGCGUGAAGGAUGAAUGUACUGCGUAUCGUAAACCUCUUUUAUCAGGGAACAAAGUCAGGCACGUGUCCCUGUUUGCAUGUACCUUAUGAAUAAGCAUCGGCUAACUCCGUGCCAGCAGCCGCGGUAAUACGGAGGGUGCGAGCGUUAUCCGGAUUUAUUGGGGUUAAAGGGUGCGUAGGCGGUCUGUUAAGUCAAGGGGGAAAGGCCCGGGCUCAACACGGGGACGGCCGUUGAAACUGGCAGUCUUGAGUUGGAGAGAGGUAUGCGGAAUGCGAGGUGUAGCGGUGAAAUGCAUAGAUAUCGCGAGGAACUUCGAUUGCGAAGGCAGCAUGCCGGCUCCACACUGACGCUGAGGCACGAAAGCGUGGGUAUCGAACAGGAUUAGAUACCCGUGUAGUC